rnacentral:rRNA from 1 species
UGAAAAGGUUAUCGUGAGGGACGAUUUAUUUUGAGAUUCUAAGGAAGUUUGCUAAAAAAAGUGUAAGAAAAAUAUUUUAGAGAUUUAAGUAUAUAAAUAGAAAUAAGGUUUUGGCAAUAGAUGAAAGUACUGUGAAGGAAAAUUGAAAUAUAUUUAAAAGAUAUUAGUGGUAAAGUAUAAAUAAAAUUUAGUACCUUGUGUAUUAGGGAUAUUUUAUAUUAAGCAAUUAUAUUUAUUUUUCCCGAAAUAAGGAUAGCUAAGCUGGGGAGUAAGUUUUUGUGUCAAAAAGAUUUAAAACUUCAUCUUAGUAGUGAAAUGUUAAUCGUGCUUUAAGAUAUCUGGUUUUUUUUGAAAAAAAUUUAAUUUUUUCUUUAUUUAAAGGAGAAGUAAAGUAUAGGGGUAGAGGGGCAAAGCUCUUUAUCUCAUAAUUUAUAUUAUAGGAAUACAGAAGAUUAGUGUUGAACUAGGCUUAGAGGUAGCUAUGUUUUCAAAGGGUUAUACCUGGAAUAUUUGUGAUGAAUAUUUAUGUAUUUUUUAUGGGUAGUAAAAAAAAGUUUUUUGAGAUUAAAUUUUAAAAUUUAAAAUGAAUAUAUUAGUAUAUAAUAAUUUUGUUUAAUAUUUUUAUUAACAGGAUUAAUAAAUUUUUUAAAAUGUUUGAUAAAACAAAGGAAUUCGGCAAAGAAUAUAUUUCCGCCUGUUUAUCAAAAACAUGUCUGUAUGAAAGUUUUAUAAAGUCUGGCCUGCCCGUUGGCGAAACUGAAAGGCCGCGGUAUUAUGACCGUGCGAAGGUAGCAUAAUCAUUAGUCUUUUAAUUGGAGGCUGGAAUGAAUGGUUGGACGAGAAAUAAGCUGUCUUUGUUUUAUAAAUUGAAUUUAACUUUUAAGUGAAAGGGCUUAAAUGGAUUAAAGGGACGAUAAGACCCUAUAAAGUUUAUACAUCCAAAUGAUUGAAAAUAAUUAAGAAAAUUAAAGUUUAUUAUUAGGGAGAUGUUUAGUUGGGGCGACUAGGAUAUAAGUUAAUUUAACUGUCCUAAAUUAAAAUCAAAGAUAUUUGAGUUUGUGAUCCUUUUUUAGGAUUAAAGAACAAGUUACUUUAGGGAUAACAGCGUAAUUUUUUUUGAGAGUUCUUAUCGACAAAAGAGUUUACGACCUCGAUGUUGAAUUAAAAGUUUCUCUGGAGUGUAGCAAUUCUAGGAGAAGGUCUGUUCGACCUUUAAAUUUUUACAUGAUUUGAGUUCAGACCGGCGAGAGCCAGGUUGGUUUCUAUCUUUUAAGAAGUAUAAAAUUGUUUUAGUACGAAAGGAUUAAAUAGUUGAAAUAGUUUUCAUUUAAAUUGGAAUUUAGUUAGUAUUUUAGCUAAAAAAUAAAUUUCAGAAAAAAAAGCUAGGCUUUUA